rnacentral:rRNA from 1 species
AUACUCCUGACUGACCGAUAGUGAACCAGUACCGUGAGGGAAAGGCGAAAAGAACCCCGGCGAGGGGAGUGAAAAAGAACCUGAAACCGUGUACGUACAAGCAGUGGGAGCCUCUUUAUGGGGUGACUGCGUACCUUUUGUAUAAUGGGUCAGCGACUUAUAUUCUGUAGCAAGGUUAACCGAAUAGGGGAGCCGAAGGGAAACCGAGUCUUAACUGGGCGUUAAGUUGCAGGGUAUAGACCCGAAACCCGGUGAUCUAGCCAUGGGCAGGUUGAAGGUUGGGUAACACUAACUGGAGGACCGAACCGACUAAUGUUGAAAAAUUAGCGGAUGACUUGUGGCUGGGGGUGAAAGGCCAAUCAAACCGGGAGAUAGCUGGUUCUCCCCGAAAGCUAUUUAGGUAGCGCCUCGUGAAUUCAUCUCCGGGGGUAGAGCACUGUUUCGGCAAGGGGGUCAUCCCGACUUACCAACCCGAUGCAAACUGCGAAUACCGGAGAAUGUUAUCACGGGAGACACACGGCGGGUGCUAACGUCCGUCGUGAAGAGGGAAACAACCCAGACCGCCAGCUAAGGUCCCAAAGUCAUGGUUAAGUGGGAAACGAUGUGGGAAGGCCCAGACAGCCAGGAUGUUGGCUUAGAAGCAGCCAUCAUUUAAAGAAAGCGUAAUAGCUCACUGGUCGAGUCGGCCUGCGCGGAAGAUGUAACGGGGCUAAACCAUG